UAGCGUUGUUCGGAAUUACUGGGCGUAAAGCGCGCGCAGGCGGCUAUCCAAGUCAGUGGUGAAAGCCCGGAGCUCAACUCCGGAACUGCCAUUGAAACUGUUUAGCUUGAGGAUGAGAGAGGUGAGUGGAAUUCCCAGUGUAGAGGUGAAAUUCGUAGAUAUUCGGAAGAACACCAGUGGCGAAGGCGACUUACUGGACACAUAUUGACGCUGAGGUGCGAAAGCGUGGGGAGCAAACAGG
rnacentral:rRNA from 1 species